rnacentral:tRNA from 1 species
ACGGCAGAAGCCCGAUCGGUAAGGGUACGGGCCUCCAAAACCCGCUGCUGAAGGUUCGACUCCUUCCUGCCGUG